rnacentral:rRNA from 1 species
CAGCAGCCGCGGUAAUACGGAGGGUGCAAGCGUUAAUCGGAAUUACUGGGCGUAAAGCGCACGCAGGCGGUCUGACAAGUCAGAUGUGAAAUCCCCGGGCUUAACCUGGGAACUGCAUUUGUGACUGUAUAGCUAGAGUACGGCAGAGGGGGAUGGAAUUCCGCGUGUAGCAGUGAAAUGCGUAGAUAUGCGGAGGAACACCGAUGGCGAAGGCAAUCCCCUGGGCCUGUACUGACGCUCAUGCACGAAAGCGUGGGGAGCAAACAGGAUUAGAUACCCCUGUAGUCCCUGUCUCUUAUAC